rnacentral:rRNA from 1 species
AAGCUCAAAUUUGAAAUCCUGCGGGAAUUGUAAUUUGAAGGUUUCGUGGUCUGAGUCGGCCGCGCCCAAGUCCAUUGGAACAUGGCGCCUGGGAGGGUGAGAGCCCCGUAUGGCGCACGCCGACUCUUUGUACACCGCGGCUCCGACGAGUCGAGUUGUUUGGGAAUGCAGCUCUAAGUGGGUGGUAAAUUCCAUCUAAAGCUAAAUAUUGGCGAGAGACCGAUAGCGAACAAGUACAGUGAUGGAAAGAUGAAAAGCACUUUGAAAAGAGAGUGAAACAGCACGUGAAAUUGUUGAAAGGGAAGGGCUUGCAAGCAGACACGGUUUUACCGGGCCAGCGUCGAAAAGGGGGGAGGAACAAGAACUCGAGAAUGUGGCGCGCACCUUCGGGCGCGCGUGUUAUAGCUCGUGUUGACGCCUCCAUCCCUUUUCGAGGCCUGCGAUUCUAGGACGCUGGCGUAAUGGUUGCAAGCCGCCCGUCUUGAAACACGGACCAAGGAGUCUAACGUCUAUGCGAGUGUUUGGGUGCAAAACCCCAGCGCGGAAUGAAAGUAAGAGGUUGGAGCCGCAAGGCGCACAAUCGACCGACCCUGAAGUGCUCGGACGGGUUUGAGUAGGAGCAUAGCUGUUGGGACCCGAAAGAUGGUGAACUAUGCCUGGAUAGGGUGAAGCCAGAGGAAACUCUGGUGGAGGCUCGCAGCGGUUCUGACGUGCAAAUCGAUCGUCGAAUCUGGGUAUA